GCGGGGCGGCCGAGGGGGCGGCGGGGGAGUGGCGAGCCGCGGAAGCCGGGUCAUGGCAGCGCCGGAAGAACCGUGCGGCGGCCGGGCCGGCGGGGAGCCAGGCCGGGACGCGGCCGGUUUGAGCGGUGCCCGCGGGAGGCGGUGGCGGGACCGCGCGGCCGCCGCCAUGUUCCGCUGUGGGGAGGAGAUCAUAAGUGGGGAGAGUGAGGAAGAAAGUAAUGGCGUCAACUUGAUGGAGUUCUCAGAUGAGAUCCUUUUGCACAUCCUCAGCUACGUCCCUUGCACAGACCUUGUCCUGAACGUCAGGAGAACCUGCAGGAAGCUAGCAAUGCUUUGCCUUGACAAGAGUCUAACACAUACAGUUUUACUUCAAAAAGACUAUAAGGUAAACAAAGACAAAGUGAAGCAGCUGAUGAGGGAUAUCGGAAAAGAGAUUUACCAGCUGAACAUGGCUGGGUGCUAUUGGCUGCCCAGCUCCACUAUUGAUCACGUAACGCGAUGCAAGAACCUGGUAAAACUGAAUUUGUCUGGGUGCCACAUCACCUCGCUCCGUCUCUCAAAGAUGCUGUCCACGCUCCAGCACCUGCGCUCCCUGGCAAUAGAUGUAAAUCCGGGUUUCGAUGCCAGUCAGCUAAGCAGUGAGUGUAAAGCCACUCUUAGCCGUGUCUUGGAAUUGAAGCAAACCCUUUACACGCCGUCAUAUGGUGUCGUUCCGUGCUGCACUAGCCUUGAGAAACUGCUGCUUUAUUUUGAGAUCCUUGAUCGCUCACGAGAAGGCUUUAUGCUCUCUGGGCAGCUAAUGGUAGGUGAGAGCAAUGUACCCCAUUACCAGAACCUCCGUGUCUUCUAUGCCAGGCUGGCUCCUGGCUAUGUUAAUCAGGAGGUGGUGAGGCUGUACUUGGCGGUGUUAAGUGAUCGGACACCUGAGAACCUUCAUGCCUUCCUUAUUUCUGCCCCUGGUAGCUUUGCGGAGACGGGAGCCACUAAAAACCUCCUAGACUCUAUGGCUCGAAAUGUACGUCUGGAUGCUUUACAAUUGCCCAAAGCCUGGAUUAAUGGCUCUGGGCUCCUGCAACACUUGAAGUUCAACAACCCUUUCUACUUCAGCUUUAGCCGAUGCACCUUAUCUGGUGGUCACCUGAUCCAGAGGGUUAUUAAUGGUGGGAAGGAUCUUAAAAGCUUGACCAGCUUGAAUCUCAGUGGCUGCAUUCACUGUUUGGCUCCGGAAUCCUUGUUUCGAAAAGCAGAAGAUGACAUUGACAGUAGCAUUCUGGAAAGCCUGGUCAUGUCUUGCUGCAACCUGAGACACCUCAACCUCUCUGCAGCUCACCAUCACAGCUCGGAAAGCAUAGGGAAUCACUUGUGCCAGCUUCUGUCCAGGCUAAAGCACCUGCUCUCGUUAGCGCUACCGGUUUGCUCCAUCACAGAUGUUGCUGCAAAUGUGGAAAAGCCUCCCACGGCAUCUAAUUUGGUGCCCCAAACAUUUGGAAGGAAAGUUCGGAUUGGGAUACAGACGUAUCCAAGGAACUUAGUGGAUCAGGGAAAUCAGAAGCUGGAGUCUUCUGUAUUCUGGGCUUUGAUGGGAAGCCUCCGCUUUUUGGAAACCUUGGAAAUAAUUGGUUCCAGUUUCUCCUCUGCCAUGCCACGCAAUGAGCCAGCAAUUCGGAACUCGUUGCCUCCUUGUGUCCGGGCACAAAGUGUGGGGGAUUCAGAGGUGGCUGCCAUAAGCCAAUUGACUUACUUGCAUAGCCUCACCUUAGCACAACUGCCAAAUAUUCUUACCGGCUCUGGGCUUAUUAACAUUGGAUUGCAGUGCCAGCAUUUGCGGACUCUUUCAUUGGCCAACCUGGGCAUGAUGGGGAAAGUGGUCUAUAUGUCUGCUCUCAUGGACAUGCUGAAACACUGCAAGUGUUUGAGAGAUCUCAGGCUGGAACAGCCGUACUUCUGUGCGGGCGCCCAGUUCUUCCAGGCACUGAGUCAUUGCUCCUCUCUCCAGCGGCUUUGCAUCGUCUCCCGGAGUGGGACUCUGCAGUCUGACGCAGUGAUGUCAUUCAUGGCCAACUGCCUUGAGGUCAUCAUGUGCCACAUGUUUAUGGGAGAAUCUCUUACCGUUUGCAAAAAUCUCCAGCAAUCUAUUGUCCGGAGGAAAUGCUUCUCCUCCAUGGGCCUUGGAGCACGCCACUGCUGAGCCGUGUUGCUGUGGGACAGAACAACAGUUAUCCCAGGGGUGCCGGAUAGUGAUCUGUGGGGAACCCGGGCUUCAGGUACUUGCAACGUCUACUUUGGCUUUACAAAAUCCACAAAACAAACAUGCAAGAGGAGCAGCUUGGUGGAAAAUGGUGCAGCUCAUGUACCCACAGGAUUAAAUCAACUCACCCCAGGUAUCGCCUCCUUUCCCCAGGCUUUUCCUCAGCCCAGCAAUGGCUUGUCUGAAUAAUUCAACUAAAAAUUCAGCAUCGCAAAUAAAUACGGGAUAAUUGCUAACAGCUCGCAGACAAUCCGCUGCCAGAGGAAGGCUAAACUCCUGGUGAAUUAUUUAUCCACUAUGAAUUAUUCACUUGGCCCUGUUACAGAAGAAAAGCUCCUUCCCAACCUUUGCCUGCCAAAUGGCCUGGCUGGGGGUGACUCUCCUGGUGCUGACUCAGCCCUUUCCCGUGGCUCCCGCUGCCUGCCUGCAUCGCUCCACAGGGAAGCGGCUCUGGGGAGCUGACACCUGCCUUGUGCAGUUCCUCAGCUCCUCCAAGGACCCACAAGUGUGGGGCAGAGGAGCCUGCGUGCCAAGCCCUGGGGUGGUCAGGACCUGACCCCUCUUUUUUGACUGCACCGAAGCUGUUUUGCUUCCCUGCGUGUGGCCAAGCCCCAGUGUGAGUCCCGCCAGGAGGUGAAGGCAUCUUUCUGAUGGGGCAGGAGUCCCACGGAAGCAGCCUGCCGGCGGAAUCGUUACCCCUGUUACAGCCCCUGCCUGCACCUUUGGGAGAAGGUCUGGAAAGCAUCAAGUCCUGGGGAAAAAAGCAGCUUGGCUCCAGAGCACUGCGGCUGACGGCGGAGCCGGUCCCUGUCCUCAGGUGGUAACACCAAGGAGGGUCUGCGUUUCGGUGUCUGGUGUCACAUAUGGUGCCACUGAGUGUCUUCAGUGCAUGGAGAAGUUCUGAGCAAGCAUCUCUCUUUCAGGGGGGGCGACAUGGGAGUACCCCAAGGCAGCUCCAGCCAUGCUGCUGGGUGCCUGGCUGGCUCCUAAAGCUUUGGGUCACACCUGCAUCCUUCAGGGCAGGUACGAGGGUCUGACUCCCAAACCAUCCUCUGGCUGCAGAAAUACGUCUCUCCAUGGCAAUCGCACGCUGCCUUGCGAUGUGAGCUUGAGUGGCUCUGCCUGGGGGAGAUGGAAGGGGCUCCCGGGGUGCUCUUCCCACCUAAAGCCCUGGGAAGAGCAGUCGGUGUGGGGAUGGAGUCGGAAUGGGGAUGCAGGCUGGAGGUUUCCUGUGGGAUGCUCACUGGCUGAAAGGCAGUAACGCUGUGGGACGGUCCGUGCUGAUGUCUCCCAGCCCGCUCCGCAGCGAGGGCCGGGUGCUGGGAGCUCUGCCCGGGCCACGGGUGAUGGUCUCUGUGAAGCAGAACUCAUGGGCAUCCCUCCCCCAGAAGAGAUAGAAGUUGCCCUCAGAGGUGAGGAGCUGCCAGCCUGUGCUCAUCAAUCUCCAUUUGCAUCAAAAAUAAGGAAAAAUAGAAGAUUUAGGUGAGAGAUCAAUAUUCUAAGAGCCUGGUGGUUUUUUGUUCUGGGUUUUUUUUUCUGGUGCUCUUCUGGGGGUGGGAAACUCGAGGCAGGUACCGGGAAUAAAUCCUCCCAGCUACCUUGAUGUAAAUCAGGAGGAAGAUGAUGGAUUUAUGGGAGUCGCGCCUGAUUUAUGCUCCUGUGUCUGGUUCCUGCAGGUCGGCGUGUGCCCCUGGGGAGGCCAAGUGCCGGAUGGGGACUGGAGCCACCACCGCGCAUCCUGCUGCAGCCGAGGUGGGACUGAGGCUGGGGGGCGGGGGGCGGGGUGAGUUUGCUUUGCGUUUUAAGCCCAGUUCGGGGCACUCAGGUAUUUUUGUUUUGCCUCUUUCUGCUGGUGGUCAGCAAAGCACGUCUGCUCAGACACCAGUCCCAAGGCAUGGUGAUGCCCUGCUGCGGGCGGACUGUCUGACUCGGUGGAGAAAAAGGCUUUCGAGUCGCUCCCAGUGAUGCUCUCCCCCUCCAUCCCUCUCCUCUCCCAUCCUGAGAGCUGGGGAGGACUGGCUGCUGGCAGGGUUGGUGUCUCCAUGGAAGAGGGAAAGGCUCUUCCUCGGGAAAGUCCUUCUUUGAGGGCUCUGAAAGGCCCCGGGGUGGUGAUGGGGGGGCUUGUCCCGGCCCUGGGGCUCCCCUCUCCGAAGAGUCCGGGUUCCCAGCCAUGACGGGGCUGGAGCCGGUGCAGGGGAGCUGUUGUUAUUCCUCUCAUGCAGCAGGAAGGAUUUCUGCGAGUGCCAUAAACCCAUCACGUGGGCAGAGCCUGGGUGAGCUCUAAUUGCUUCUAUUUGCAUAAUGAGGCGAGGCUCAGCAUCCUGCUGAUAUUUGAAAGAAGAAAAUCAAAAUCAGCUCUAGAUAAACAACUCUUUCCCCCCCCCCCCCCCCCAGUCCCUACCCCCACUCCUAAUUUGCACAUUUUCUCCCUUAAUGCAGGUUUUUCAGCUCUUCGGUCUCCUCUGGAGCACCACAGCCCCCCUGGGACCCCUGCCCAGGGAGCAUGGGUGCUGGAUGCUGGGGGGGUGCUGCCCCCCGCCCCCCCCCCCGGCUGCCGUGGUCUGGGGGCUUUGCCUGGAGCUGGUGGUGGGGCAUGAGAUGUGGAGGUAUCUGAAUUGGAGCGGGAGAGGAUCGGGGUGGUCUUGGGGCUGGCAAUGUGGAGCUGCGGCUGGAGCCCCUGGGCUGCGUGCGGGAGCAGGACCUGGUCAGGGCUGUGCGGUGCCAGAGGGUCUGUGGCCAGCCCGGGCCUGGAGGGUUUCCUGAGCGAAAGCCCAGCAGAUGUCACCACAGCCCGAUGUCACCACAGCUUGGUGGCAGCUCAGCCUGUGUGGGGACCAUCCCGCCUGGGGACAUGGGCCAGCUGGGAUGCCGUCCUGCUCACAUGCCCCGUGCUGGCCCCGAGUGUCCUGCUGGCUUCUGGGGACCUGCCAGGGAUGGGAUGGGAUGGGACAGGACACAGGACCCUUCCUCACCUGCGAGCCUCUGGGGUGGCAGGAAGGGCCUUGCUUGCACCCCAGAUGUUGCUGGUUGGGGGGAUGCUCCUGCCCUGGGGCCCUCAGAGGACUUGGUAGAAGGUCCAGAAGGACCUGAAAAAGGGGGUGACAUCCACUGGCUGGGCUGUGUCCCCAGAUGCGCUGCUGCUCUGUAAGCCCUUUUUCCCAGUCACUCACAGCCCCAGAGACCAGUAGCAUCCCUGCUCCUCCUGUCCCCUCAGGUAGCCAAGGUCCUUCCCCAGCAGCCAAACCUGGGGGUCCCCUUGUCCCUGGGGGUCCCUCAGGCAUUGCCAAGACUCUCUCGGCACCCACAGCUUUUGGGAGCUGGAGGGGCUGUGCUGGCCGGGGUGCUGGGGGGUUUGCACCCUUCGCCCCAGGGAAGGAUGGUGACUUGCUCACUUGAGGCCAGGCAGCAGACACCAAGCAGAAAUGUGCUACGUCCAUUCCCCCAGGGACCGGGCAAAUGGACUCCUUCCUCCUCCUCUUCCUCCCCAGCAUGAGGGCUGGUAUCCUCUGAAUCCUUCGCUACCCUUUGGGGGAGAAGUGCUGACUCCAGAUGUUUCCCUAAAUGAGAACCUUCUGCAAACAGCACCAGUUUAUUUUCAUAUCGAAAGAAAAUGAAAGGGCUGUUGUGAUGGUGAUUAUUAACGUUUUUACAGCCCGUGUUUGUAGCGGGGGCUGCUAUGCCAGUGGGCAAGUGGAUAGACAGAUGGACGAGUGCCUGGGGAAGCCGUGUCCCCCCUCUACCCCCUGCUCUCUCUGGGUGCAUCAACGCUCUGGCUGGCUCCAUCUUAUCCCAGCCCUCCGGUGCCCCUGGUCUCCCUUCCCCAGCCCCGGUGGUCCAGGGAUGAGCUUGAGGGGACAGGACAGGACCAGGACCCCUGGGACCAGGGACUGUGGCUCAGCAGCACCAGGAGCAUGAAGCGCCUGUGCUCAGAGAUGUGUAAAGGGUAAAAGGACAGGGCUGAGAGAGGAAAUCUCUGUGCACGGGUGUUACUGAGGGCACACGCUUGUCUGAACAGCUCCCGUGCCCCCACCGGGGCUCCAGGUGUGAACGAUGAGCCCCAAAUUGCUGCUGUGGCCCAGGACCCUGCCUGGUGUGGAAGGGCAGCACCAGCCCCAUCCUCAGCCAGCUCCUGUUUCUGAUUGAGCUGAGUCUCUUGCUGGGAUGAUCUUGCUGCUCCCGUGGUCUCCUCCAAGGUGAGCAGUUUCCUCCCCCGACUCCCAUUUUGCUUGGGCUGCUAGUAAUACCCUAUGAGCUCAGACACCAUCAGCCCAAUACGAUGUAAUGUUUGCUUUUAAAACGGCAGAUCUCUGCUCCUCCAAAGCCACCAGUGUCCCACCUGCUGACCCCAGCCCACAGCCCGGCGCCUGCUCUCGUCCUUUUUGCUUUCCCAGCCCAUGGAUGCUCAGUGCCCUUCAGCCGGCCGCGGGGCUCGGAGGGCAGGGGGGCCCCAGCUGCCAGCACUUGCUGCUCGCUCGGCUCUCCUGCCCACGCCAAAGCCCUGGCCAGGGCUGCCGCCCCCAUCCACAUCCCCAACCGCAAAGGUCCCCCCUUCCCUGGGCCCUUGUGGUGUGCGAAACCCCCUCCUCCGGCCGGUGUGCCAAACAGGAGGGGAGCAGCAAUGCUUCCCCCAGCCCCUCCUCAUCCUCUGGCCCCGGGGAAGCUGGGCAGGAUGGAGAAAAGGAGGAGAACCCUCAAAGGUGGAAAGAAAGAAAUCCCCCUGGCAGCUUUUAACUGAGGAGGAGAAGGAGAGGGAACAAGAUGGGAGGAGAGGUUGUGAGCUGGAGAUAGCUGGCACUUGCAGCGAGUGAUGUGUGUGUACACAUGCCGGCUCCCCACCAGCCUGAUGAAAGGACCGGGAGCUCUCGAAGCCAAACUAAGGUGAGGAACCUGUGGCUGUCCCGGGGGUGGCAGUGGGGGAAGGCUGGUUUACUCCAGCGCAGCAGGGAUGCUCUGCCAGGAGCCGGGGUGGCCGGCUCUGCAGCGGUAACAGCUCGCUGAGGAGGGGCUGUGUUCCAGCAUCCCAGCCUGUGCAAUGAGAGGGAUGCUGGCCGGGCAGCUCUGCUGUCAGCCCCCAGAUCGGUGAUCCAGGGCGAUGCAUCGGCUAGGGAUGCAGCAUGGAUGGGGGUCUGCCUCCUCCCUGGAUCCCUGCGGGGUGCUGGGGCUGGUCUCCGCUGUGGUGGGGCUCCCUGGGUAUUCGGUGUAGCAAGCACAGCCCAGACACCAGCUGGGAAGUGGUGGCUUUGUGCUGGCCUGGGUGAGGAAGGGUCUCUGGUCCCUCCUGCCCCAGCAGCGAGGGGAUUUUUCCCCCUCCCAUGCAGGCAUGAAGCUCUCACUCCAGUUGCACAGCUCCCUUUGCCUUGCCCAGGGCUUCACUUGCACCCGCACCUGCAAAUUUCCAAGGGCUUCCUUGUCACCCCCAUGUUGCGUUUGGGAUUUGUAUUUAAUUCUUAUUAUUUCUUCAUAGGUUUGUCCCUGUCACUGCUGCUAUUCCCAGCCCGGCUUUCCAGCAGGUUUUGCUCUGCAGAGAGCUGCAGGUUGGCUAUGAAAUAUGACAAAGCGUUCAUUUAAAUGCACACCAUGAUGUCGGCAAGUCCAUUAGGAGAAUUAAUUUGAAUGGUUGGCAUUUAAUAAACAGCCUCGUCCCUCCUCUCCCCCUGCCGCCGCCAUCUCGGAAGGGUUAAAAAGAAACCACAUGUGGAUAUUGGAGGGAGAGGGGAGCAGGUAUCUGGGGCUGGGGGGCGGGGGGUGGGUGGGGGAUAAUAAAAGAGAGCUGGCGUUAUAAAAGGAAUUGCAGUUUGUUUUGUUCACAGUAAAAAAAAGCACAUGUGGAAGGGGCUGAGCCGAGCAGUUUGGGUUCACAGGGUGUUUGGUGCGUGGAGAAAAGAGGGGGAUGAAACAGUGAUGGAGCCGGGGAGGAGACGCUCCGGCCGGAGGGUCCCAGCCUGACUCCAAACACGCGGGGCUGGGGGAAGGCGAGGGGGUUCUGAGGACGUUUCUCCCCAUAUGGUGUGUAUUACAAGCUCCUUUCUAGUUGUAAAGAUUAAUUUAAAGCCUUUCUCACCUCCCCCCCAUCCCUCUUUCAUUGACAAAUGAACAUCUGGGCUGAAUGCUGCCCAGAUCCUAAUCAAAGCAUUUUUUCAGGGCCGUUGUCUGCCUUUAUGGCUAUCUGCUUUUCGGAUUCUCAGCAGUUUCAAUGCACUUGGCAAUUCAGCCUGCAAAUACCCCUCUCCAGGAUUUAUGAUUCGGGCUAAUGUGAUUUUUCUCUUUGCUUCUUGAUUCGUUUGUUUGGUUUAGUUUAACGGCAUUUUCUUCUCUGUGUAUAAGUUAGGGCACGAAGGGAUUUCCUCCCCCCUCCCCCCCCUUCCCUUCUUUGCUCUGGGUUAUUAACAAUUAGCAAAAAUGGCUUUCUUGGGGAGGCUACA